GUGCCCUAUCGGUCCUGGGGGCAGCCAACUCUGAGUCAUCUCGGCCUCUCCCAGGACAGCAUGGAGAAAGCUUGGUCAGUGACUGGGACCUGAAUGAAGAACCAGAGGACAACCACGAGAAGGGAGCAGGAUAUUAAUGAAUGAAUAGGAGCUUGCCAGGCUGAGAAAGGAAAAGAUUCCAGGGGAGCAGGCAGAGGCCCGGCUAAGGCAGCGGCCAGGAGGACUGCAUGUAAAUGCAUGGCGAGAGCAGAAAACCAGAGAUGUCCAGUAGACCGUGGCACGAAGGCAGGCCAAGAGCAUGGGAACAAGCACUAUCUCCCUGCCCACAGCCAUCCCUCUUAUUGCUCCUCAAUUUUCCAGCGUGACUGACUCCACUAAGCUCUAAAGGUUCACGAGGGCACAGGGCACGAACAGACCAGGGGAAGCUGCCACCAAAGCAUCUGACUGUGAAGCCCAGCCUCCUCCACUCUCUAUUA